CUCUUCUCUGCCACUCAGACCAGGUUGCCACGGGGCUGCAAGCGAGGCAGCUGUUGAAGGGGUGACAGCCAGAGCUCCUCGGGCCACUGCCGUGACAACAGAAAGGGAGAAGGACUUUUCCUCAGAGACUAUAAACUGAAUGCUUGUACCCCCAGUGUGAUGGGAUUUGGAGAUGAAGCUUUUGGGGGAUGACCAGGGUUAGAUGUCAGGAGGCCCUGGUCUGAUGUGAUGGGAGUGGUGCCCUUCUUAGCAGGGACACCGACCAGAGCGUUUGCUCGUUGAUGCCCUACCUCCGUGCACACCGAGGAAAGGCUGUGUGAGCCACAGUGAGAAGGCGGCCAUCUGUAAGCCAGGAAGAGGGCCUGCGCCAGAACCUGACCAUCUUGACACCUGGACCUUGGACUUCCAGCCUCCAGAAUGGUGAAAAUAUAUAUUUCUGUUGUUUAAGCCACCCAGUUUACGGUAUUUUGCUACAGCAGCCGAAGUAGGCUAAUACAGAGACCCCCACCCAACCCUGCAACUCUCUCCACAUAGUCCGGUGGGGCUGAGCCUGGCUCUGUCCACGGGUGAACUGGGCAGAGAGUAUUGCAUCCUCCCACCCCCACGAGCAGGGAUGGACAAGCCUGGGUCAAAGAUGGCUCAAGGAUGGACACCUGACCCAGGCCAAGUUCAUCAGAGUCAAUACCACUCAGUCCCAGAAUUCCUUUUGGAAGUCUUUUGAGAGGCAACUCUCUCUGCUGGGGUUAUUAGGAGCUUUGGACAUACCUGGAGCUCCAGACCACCAUCUUUCUGGGAAAGUGCCUGCCUGAAAAGGAGACAACACAGAGAAAGGCACUAUUUGAACACCUGGACACAGCCUUGCCUGAAUGAAGCCAUCUACUCUGCACAUUUCAGUUACAUGAGCUAAUGUUUAUUUUUCUGUUGGGCUGGUUUGAUUAGGUUUUCUGUCACUUGCAACCUAGAGUCUCACUCAUACCCAAAGGCAAAACACACAUAGUUGCUUUUGAAGUUGCUCCAGUAGCCACACCUCCCAGAUUUGCCCUUGGUGUUCUGCAGAUGGCUGUGAGCUGGCCCUCCUGCCCAACAAGUCAGGCUCCUUUGGGGGGCCUGGGGCAAAUCAUCACAGCUGCCCAAAUUCACUCCCCAACACCUGCUACUCUUUCUUCUUCCUCUCCUCCUCCUCUCCCCUUACAUUCUUCCCCCUCUUCUUCUCUGUAGAGCCUGUCUUCUCUCUUGAGGGAGACUUGCAGACAAGUUGAAUCUGAGUGUACAAUCUAGAGCCAGACAUCCAGGAUACCAUAAACAUCAGACAUCAAGUAUUCCAGCUGCGUGACCUAAGCAGAUUUCUUAACCUCUCUGAGACUCAGACUUUUUUCCAUAAAUGGGGAUAACAAUUCCUACUCAUGGUCGGGCAUGUGGCUCAUGCCUGUAAUCCCA
rnacentral:lncRNA from 10 species